GUGGCUCUGCAGCACAAUCUAGGCCUUGGGGGAGCUAUGGUUGUAACGCUCUACAGGAUGGGUUUUCCUGAAGCUGCCAGUUCUUUUAGAACUCAUCAAAUUGAGGCUGCUCCAACCAGCUCUCCAGGUGAUGGAUUUAAAGCAAAUGUUGUCUUUAAGGAGACUGAGAAGAAGCUUGAAGAGGAAGGGGAAUAGUUUGUGAAGAAAAUCGGUGGUAUUUUUGCCUUCAAGGUGAAGGAUGGCCCUGGGGGUAAAGAGGCCACCUGGGUGGUGGAUGUGAAGAAUGGCAAAGGGUCAGUGCUUCCUAACUCAGAUAAGAAGGCUGACUGCACGAUUACAAUGGCUGACUCUGACUUACUGGCCUUAAUGACUGGCAAAAUGAAUCCUCAGUCGGCUUUCUUUCAAGGCAAACUGAAAAUCACUGGCAACAUGGGUCUGGCCAUGAAGUUGCAAAAUCUUCAGCUUCAGCCAGGCAAAGCUAAGCUGUGAAGAACUCCCUUUGGCUACUUUUGAAAAUCAAGAUGAAAUAUAUAGCUACAUAUCCAUAUAUUUCAUUGUCAGCAUUUAGACUGAAACUACACCUUGGCAAAUUGUGCGAGACAGAUUUGUUUUUCAAUUGUAUGACCAAUCCUAUUUUCCCUAAGCUCUGGGUGGAUAGAGCCUGAUGGUGUACGGCUGCUUUGCUGAGCUGCAUACAACUGUGCAUUACAAAGUUAAUAUGGUAAUUAUGGUUUGGGGUAAAACUGAGUUUCAGAAUAAAAUUAGGAAGAGUAAAAUCCAAAAAAUUAUGUAGAUAAAAGCUCUUAUUAUGCUUAUAAAGUAUAUUUAGGGAUUAUUCUGCUGAAUAUUCGAUUUAAGAGUUUUCCUUGGGAGAACUAGUGAAGAAACAGUUCCAAUAACUGGUCAGUAAUUAGUGUUGUGCACUUAAUGACCUUAAUUAAUCUCUCAUGAAUAGUGCUUAAAAUUCUGCACUAGGAUGAUAAAAGAAAACCAACUUAAGCAUUUCCCAUUUCAAAGAAAAGUUUGCAUUUCAUGCCAUCAGAAACAGUAUUUUCUUCCCAAAUUAAAAUAAAAGAAAUAUGAUCACUUCUUGGAAGGGGGAUGUGUUGCUGAACACAGGCUUAUUUUUAAAAUAAAAAUGUUUUAAAACUGG